UACGGAGGGUGCGAGCGUUAUCCGGAUUUACUGGGUUUAAAGGGUGUGUAGGCGGGCUAUUAAGUCAGCGGUGAAAUCUUCGGGCUCAACCCGGAAACUGCCAUUGAUACUAUUAGUCUUGAAUACUGUGGAGGUAUGCGGAAUGUGUCAUGUAGCGGUGAAAUGCUUAGAGAUGACACAGAACACCGAUUGCGAAGGCAGCGUACUACACAGUUAUUGACGCUGAGGCACGAAAGCGUGGGGAUCAAACAGG
rnacentral:rRNA from 1 species